rnacentral:rRNA from 1 species
AGUUGCGAAGGCGGCUCUCUGGACUGUAACUGACGCUGAGGCACGAAAGCGUGGGGAGCAAACAGGAUUAGAUACCCUGGUAGUCCACGCUGUAAACGGUGAGUACUAGGUGUCGGGGGUUACCCCCUUCGGUGCCGCAGCUAACGCAUUAAGUACUCCGCCUGGGAAGUACGCUCGCAAGAGUGAAACUCAAAGGAAUGGACGGGGACCCGCACAAGUAGCGGAGCAUGUGGUUUAAUUCGAAGCAACGCGAAGAACCUUACCUAAGCUUGACAUCCCAAUGACAUCUCCUUAAUCGGAGAGUUCCCUUCGGGGACAUUGGUGACAGGUGGUGCAUGGUUGUCGUCAGCUCGUGUCGUGAGAUGUUGGGUUAAGUCCCGCAACGAGCGCAACCCUUGUCUUUAGUUGCCAUCAUUAAGUUGGGCACUCUAGAGA